rnacentral:rRNA from 1 species
UACGAAGGGGGCUAGCGUUGCUCGGAAUCACUGGGCGUAAAGCGCACGUAGGCGGCUUUUUAAGUCAGGGGUGAAAUCCUGGAGCUCAACUCCAGAACUGCCUUUGAUACUGAGAAGCUUGAGUCCGGGAGAGGUGAGUGUAACUGCGAGUGUAGAGGUGAAAUUCGUAGAUAUUCGCAAGAACACCAGUGGCGAAGGCGGCUCACUGGCCCGGUACUGACGCUGAGGUGCGAAAGCGUGGGGAGCAAACAGG